rnacentral:rRNA from 1 species
UAGUCCACGCUGUAAACGAUGAGUGCUAGAUAUCGGGAAUUUAUUUUCGGUUUCGCAGCUAACGCAUUAAGCACUCCGCCUGGGGAGUACGAUCGCAAGAUUAAAACUCAAAGGAAUUGACGGGGGCUCGCACAAGCGGUGGAGCAUGCGGUUUAAUUCGAUGCUACGCGAAAAACCUUACCAACCCUUGACAUGGUGGUCACGGGGACCAGAGAUGGACCCCUUCAGUUCGGUUGGACCACACACAGGUGUUGCAUGGCUGUCGUCAGCUCGUGUCGUGAGAUGUUGGGUUAAGUCCCGCAACGAGCGCAACCCUUAUCCUUAUUUGCCAGCGGUUUUAGCCGGGGACUAUAAGGGAACUGCCAGUGAUAAACUGGAGGAAGGUGGGGACGACGUCAAGUCAUCAUGGCCCUUACGGGUUGGGCUACACGCGUGCUACAAUGGUACUUACAAAGGGAAGCAAUACGGCGACGUGGAGCAAAUCCCUAAAAGGUAUCUCAGUUCGGAUUGCUCUCUGCAA